rnacentral:rRNA from 1 species
GGAAGGAAGCAUUCUGAUCCAGCCAUGCCGCGGUGCAGGAAGACGGUCCUAUGGAUUGUAAACUGCUUUUAUACAGGAAGAAAAAGAGAGAUUCGUUCUUUUA